rnacentral:rRNA from 1 species
GACAGAGGUGCCAAGCGUUAGGCGGAAUCACUGGGCUUAAAGCGUGUGUAGGCGGAAUUGUAAGUACCUUGUGAAAUCCCACAGCUCAACUGUGGAACUGCUGGGUAUACUGCUUUUCUUGAGCCACUUAGGGGCUGUCGGAACAAAUGGUGGAGCGGUGAAAUGCGUAGAUAUCAUUUGGAACGCCAAUGGUGAAAACAGACAGCUGGGAGUGUGCUGACGCUGAGACACGAAAGCCAGGGGAGCGAACGGG